rnacentral:rRNA from 1 species
CCUACGGGUGGCAGCAGUAGGGAAUAUUGCACAAUGGGGGAAACCCUGAAGCAGCAACACCGCGUGGAGGAAGAAGGUCCUCGGAUUGUAAACUCCUUUUGUUAGAGAAGAUAAUGACGGUAUCCAACGAAUAAGCCCCGGCCAACUCCGUGCCAGGCGCCGCGGUAAUACGGAGGGUGCAAGCGUUACUCGGAAUCACUGGGCGUAAAGGGCGCGUAGGCGGGAAAGCAAGUCUGAUGUGAAAUCCUAUGGCUUAACCAGGGAACUGCAUUUGAAACUGUUAUUCUAGAGUAUGGGAGAGGUAGGUGGAAUUCUUGGUGUAGGGGUAAAAUCCGUAGAGAUCAAGAGGAAUACUCAUGGCGAAGGCGACCUGCUAGAACAUAACUGACGCUGAUGCGCGAAAGCGUGGGGAGCAAACAGGAUUAGAUACCCGGGUAGUC